GGUGAGUAGUGCGUAGGAAUCUGUCUGGGGGUGGGGGAUAACCUGGGGAAACUCAGGCUAAUACCGCAUACGCUCUGCGGAGGAAAGCGGGGGACCUGCGAGGGCCUCGCGCCGGUAGAGGAGCCUACGUCGGAUUAGCUAGUUGGUAGGGUAAGGGCCUACCAAGGCGACGAUCCGUAGCUGGUCUGAGAGGAUGAUCAGCCACACUGGGACUGAGACACGGCCCAGACUCCUACGGGAGGCAGCAGUGGGGAAUCUUGGACAAUGGGCGCAAGCCUGAUCCAGCAAUGCCGCGUGGGUGAAGAAGGCCUGCGGGUUGUAAAGCCCUUUCGGUGGGGAGGAACGGUCUGGUGCUAAGAGCGCUGGGCCUUGUCGUUACCCACAGAAGAAGCACCGGCCAACUCCGUGCCAGCAGCCGCGGUAAUACGGAGGGUGCGAGCGUUAAUCGGAAUUACUGGGCGUAAAAGGCGCGUAGGCGGUGCGUGGAGUCAGCUGUGAAAGCCCUGGGCUUAACCUGGGAAUGGCAGUUGAGACUGGCGUGCUGGAGUGCGACAGAGGAUGGUGGAAUUCCCGGUGUAGCGGUGAAAUGCGUAGAGAUCGGGAGGAACACCGAUGGCGAAGGCAGCCGUCUGGGUCGACACUGACGCUGAGGCGCGACGGCGUGGGGAGCAAACAGGAUUAGAUACCCUGGUAGUCCACGCGGUAAACGAUGAGAACUAGACGUCAGGCGGGUUUAACUGUUUGGUGUCGGAGCUAACGCGUUAAGUUCUCCGCCUGGGGAGUACCGGCCGCAAGGUU
rnacentral:rRNA from 1 species